CGGGCCCCGGGCUGACAGCUCUGGGAGGGACGGGGCGGGAAUGGGGGCACAGUUCUUCUACAACCAGUCCAAGCAAGAAAUCUACAAUAUACGUCCAAGUUAUUGUGGAAAGAUCAGUGAAGAAAGAAAAAGAACCGCAGAGGCAGUGCGCUGGCAGGCAUGGAGCGGGCUCUCCUGGCAGCCAGAGGUCGGAGCCACGGAUGUCUUGUGCUCACCUGCAGCAGCAGAAAGUUCUCAUCGUGUGGAAAUGGCUCCGGGGAGGGAAGAACGAACAGCUUUGUCGUAUUUGAGCAAUAAUACAAUGUAAACAAACAGUGAGUGUGUGGAGCUUUUCUGUAUUUCUCAAGGCACAAAAAUGUUCUUUGUGAGAGAUUGUGUUGCUGCCUUCUGCUGCUGCGAACUGCUGCUCUCAUCUGCAUAACGAGCAGAAAAACCGGACGCUUCUGAUAGAAGUCUCAGCCAUAUAUAACAGUCCUAAGGCCAAAAGCCUCAGGGCACAUCAUCCAGAAGUGAAAACAGAGCGCGCUCCAGGAGUCACUGAGAAGCAGAAGAUGAGGGCUGUCCAGUGAGGCCACCUCUCAGUGAAGGCUGGCACACACUACUGAUGUCUCCUGGCCAUGCCUGCGAGGGUGGCCUCUGAGGGCUGACUUCUGUCCACAGCUUGGAUUUGAGAUGGUGCUAAUGCAGCCCCAUAUGGAAUAGCUCAGUACCUAAAUUGCUCCCAGGUCAUGAGGAGUUGACACCCCUCACUCACAGUGGAAAAGGAUAAUGGGAAUUUGUAAGAAUUAUUUAAUGGUAAGACACAUGCAUUUUUAUAGUUGGUUCUGGCCUUGAGACACCAAAUGCCUGUGGUGGGACCUUAAUUACCCCAAAUUGUGCCACUAUGAUCUAUUUAAAUUGUCUCUGAGAGGGGAACUGAACGCUGUAUAUCUCCUAUGUUUGUGGACAAGGUAGUCUAACUUGGGAAAUCUGAUUUACUCUCUAGCAUGGUUUUGACUUACUUGGAGUGAAGUUCAUAUCAACAGUGUAAAAUAGCACUGUUGUCUACACCUAUGCAACUGCUCGUGCCUCACUCAGUAAACUCAGAGUUGGUUCUCUCUUAAUCUUUGGAAUAGUGAGAGGAACCGCACACAUUCCAGAGAAGUUGAACUCUGCAAGUAUGCAUGUAGAAGAUGUAGAUGAUAAAGAAUAGAAAAUCUUAUCUUACGAAUUUUUAUUGGGAAAAACUGGCUCAGACAUUUAGGUACAUAACAGUCCUUACUGGCAGCGAUUAAUUUGUAACAAAAACACCCCCUAAGACUUUAUACAAUUAGAUGUUUUAAGUCCAAAAUGAAAACAGCCCCUUGCAUUCAGAGAGCUUGCUGGUGGUGGACAGUGCAUCGUUAUAUUUAAAAAUCACUUGCAUUAAGUUCCCCUUCUGCAUUCCCCCAUGUGGCAGCUUGCAUGGCUCUGAUUUUACUACCUCCAACAGCUUUGUACAUUCUUAGAAAUAUACGCAGGCAAACAGCAGGUAUUAAGUAAAUGAACAUUCAGUGCAUUAUCUAAACAAUAUAAAACUGCACACACACCACACCUAAAUAACAACAGAGAGGUCAGAACAACUGAAAUUAUAGUGAAAGGGUGGGGAACUCUGAAAACAACAGAACAGCAGCUCUAAUCCUCUUUCAUUGGAAGAAAGGAACAUAUAUUUAGAAGCCAUUUGCUCAGCCUCUAAACCAAACCACAAGUGGUUGUCAGUGAACACGCAGCAUUUUCAGACAUUUCCUGUGAUGCGCAGAAUACCCAGUGGACUGAGUGGAAAACACCAAAUACUGCUACUGACACGCACAUGUGUUGGCAGGGUUUACUCCACAGGACUGACGACCCACCACAGGAAGAACUGCAGUAGAAAAGCACUUAUAAUGCUGCAGGGUAACUUCUCUCUGUUAUUAGCAUAACACACCCAUUUACCACACUCAUAAACGAUGACAAACAAGUACUACAAGAUAUUAAGAUGUUUCCUUUUUUGCUUGCUUGGGUACAGCAAUGUCAAGUUGUUAUUCAUAAUGAGUCAUUUGGCAGUCCUGUGGUGGGAGGAACAGCAUUUAUUGGGAUAGUAACAUUGGUGUGCAGUAUACCAGUGACAUAUGUCUUUAACAUAACAGGUUUUGACACUUGGACUUCUUGGGGUUUGUUGUUUCUUUUUUUAGUUAUGAAAAGUUGUUGCACAUGGCUUGAUAGAAAGCUUCAGCAGGCAAUGGUAGCAGUUGCUACAGAACACCUCUUCGUGAGUGGGUGAGGAAUGAAGUGUCAUAAAAAGCUCUAAAGCAACAAAUCUUCAGGAACAGCAGAGCAAGGUUCCCAUCAAUUAGACAAGCUAUCUGGUUCUGGAUUCAUACAGAGAUCAUACAGACUUGGCAUUUCACAUUCUCCCUUCUGCACAUUUUGACGUUUACCUUCUGUAUAGCUAGUCCCCACAUCCUGGGCAGACAGACCAUUGUAGAAGGAAGUGGGACCCUGAGAUGGAGGAUCAGUUCCCUUUACAACGCCUUGAGAGUGUUUAAUGCUGAAGGCUAAUAAUAUAACUAAAAAUGCUUGCUAAGCACACUUAUCUGGAAUCAGCAGGUCAGCAGCUACAUACCACAAGUUCUUCCCCACACAAUUCCUGUAACACAGGAAUUACUGAACAGAACAUCAAAAUUCCCAGGAGAAGAACCCCAAGCACUUCUCCUCUUGUGAUCAUCAGUAGGCUACAAAUGCUGACACUAUGGGAUCUCUGCACCCCCCACACCCUGCAGCAAUUGUUUUGCCUAAAAGCUGUAUCAUUUAGGCAUCAACAAGGUUAUCAGCUAAGCAGGAAAUAAAGUUUCUAAGAUGUCUACA